rnacentral:rRNA from 1 species
KUAACUGCGAGUGAAGCGGGAAAAGCUCAAAUUUAAAAUCUGGUAGUCUUUGGCUAUCCGAGUUGUAAUCUAGAGAAGCGUUAUCCGCGCUGGACCGUGUAUAAGUCUCCUGGAACGGAGCGUCAUAGAGGGUGAGAAUCCCGUCUUUGACACGGACUCCCAGGGCUUUGUGAUGUGCUCUCAAAGAGUCGAGUUGUUUGGGAAUGCAGCUCUAAAUGGGUGGUAAAUUCCAUCUAAAGCUAAAUAUUGGCGAGAGACCGAUAGCGAACAAGUACCGUGAGGGAAAGAUGAAAAGAACUUUGGAAAGAGAGUUAAACAGUACGUGAAAUUGUUGAAAGGGAAACGCUUGAAGUCAGUCGCAUUGAUCAGGGAUCAACCUUGCUUUUUUGCUUGGUGUACUUCCUGGUUCAUGGGUCAGCAUCAAUUUUGACCAGUGGAAAAAGAUUAAGGGAAUGUGGCAUCUUCGGAUGUGUUAUAGCCUUUGGUCGCAUACAUUGGUUGGGAUUGAGGAACUCAGCACGCCGCAAGGCCGGGUUUUUAACCACGUUCGUGCUUAGGAUGCUGGCAUAAUGGCUUUAAUCGACCCGUCUUGAAACACGGACCAAGGAGUCUAACAUGCCUGCGAGUGUUUGGGUGGAAAACCCAAGCGCGUAAUGAAAGUGAAAGUUGGGAUCCCUGUCGUGGGGAGCACCGAUGCCCGGACCAGACCUUCUGUGACGGAUCCGCGGUUGAGCAUGUAUGUUGGGACCCGAAAGAUGGUGAACUAUGCCUGAAUAGGGUGAAGCCAGAGGAAACUCUGGUGGAGGCUCGUAGCGAUUCUGACGUGCA